GUCCAGACUCCUACGGGAGGCAGCAGUGAGGAAUAUUGGUCAAUGGGCUUACGCCUGAACCAGCCAAGUCGCGUGAGGGAAGACUGCCCUAUGGGUUGUAAACCUCUUUUGUCAGGGAGCAACGCCGGCUACGUGUAGCCGGACUGAGAGUACCUGAAGAAAAAGCAUCGGCUAACUCCGUGCCAGCAGCCGCGGUAAUACGGAGGAUGCGAGCGUUAUCCGGAUUUACUGGGUGUAAAGGGAGCGUAGACGGCGGCGCAAGUCCGGAGUGAAAGCCCACGGCCCAACCGUGGGACUGCUCUGGAAACUGUGCGGCUUGAGUGCGGGAGGGGCAGGCGGAAUUCCUAGUGUAGCGGUGAAAUGCGUAGAUAUUAGGAGGAACACCGGCGGCGAAGGCGACUUUCUGGACUGUACCUGACGCUGAGGCGCGAAAGCAUGGGGAGCGAACAGGAUUAGAUACCCUUGUAA
rnacentral:rRNA from 1 species